UAUCCCAGAAGAUGUUGGAGUCUAAGAGUUGUGCUGUGAACAUCCAAACGGGCACCAAAAAUCGUAAAGCACGUGGUAGUUGGACUGGCAAACUUGACUUUAUAUUAACGUGUAUAGGUUUUGCAGUUGGACUUGGAAAUAUUUGGAGAUUUCCUUACUUAUGUUACAAAAGUGGUGGCGGUGCUUUCUUCAUUCCAUAUUUUAUAUUCUUGAUUCUCUGUGGUAUACCACUAUUCUUCCUGGAAGUAUCAUUUGCCCAAUUUGGUAGCCUUAGUCCUAUAGCUAUAUGGAGAAUAAGUCCGCUAUUUAAAGGCAUUGGUGUUGGAAUGGUUAUAGUCUCUGGAAUUGUGUGCGUCUAUUACAAUGUUAUAAUCGCCUGGACCUUGUAUUACCUGUUCAUGUCAUUCCGAAGUACUCUUCCUUGGAGUACAUGUGGAAACAGUUGGAAUACCCAAUACUGCGUCGAAGACGAUCACAACAAUGCGUCCGCACUCAAUAGUACCUGGAAUGAGAACGAUACCUACUCUAUAUUCCAGAAUGUCAGUGUAGCCCAUGUUUUUAACCAUUCCAUGAGAGUAUCAGCCAGUGAAGAAUAUUGGGAGAGACAAGUAUUGAAAAUAACAAGUGGAAUUGAAAUUCCAGGAGUAAUUCGUUGGGAGCUCUUGCUGUUCUUAAUCUUUGCAUGGUUGAUAGUAUUUCUCUGUUUGUUUAAAGGAAUUGAAGUUCUUGGAAAGUUGAUGCAUUUUGCUGCCCCUUUCCCUUAUUUUGUCCUCUUCAUCCUUCUCAUUCGUGGGGUCACGUUACCUGGGUCUUUGGAAGGCAUAAAAUUUUAUAUAAUACCAAGGUUUGAGGAACUUAAGAAAUUCCAAGUGUGGGGAGAUGCAGCCCUGCAGAUAUUCUACUCCAUAGGUAUGGCAUGGGGUGGUAUUAUAACUAUGGCAAGUUAUAAUGAAUUUAAUCACAAUGUUUAUAAGGAUGCACUUAUUGUCCCUAUGAUCAAUUGUGCUACAAGUAUCUUCGCAGGUUUUGUCAUCUUCUCAGUUCUUGGAUUUAUGGCUUUUGAAACUGGUGUUAGUGUUGAUAAUGUUGUUAGACAAGGUCCUGGCCUGACCUUUGUUGCAUAUCCUGAAGCUCUUUCUCGGUUACCUAUAUCCUCACUAUGGGCUGUACUAUUCUUCUUGAUGCUUUUUAUAAUUGGUCUUGAUAGCCAGUCCAGCAAGGUGAAAACAAGCCACAUACCAAUGUUUAAAAGCUGACCGAAGCAUUCAUGGUUUUGCUGACUAACUACUAAACAGGGACAGUGAUGUGGGCUGCAACAGAGAAGGCUGCAAGGCCGGCUGUAUACUAGUUUGGGAUGUUUGAGACCAUGUUGAGUGCCUUUAUGGAUGAAUAUCCUGAAUAUCUCCGAGGAAAGAAAACAUUGAUUUGUGCCAUUG
rnacentral:misc_RNA from 1 species